rnacentral:rRNA from 1 species
GCUUAACGUUGCGCGUGCAGUGGGUACGGGCUGACUAGAGUGCAGUAGGGGAGUCUGGAAUUCCUGGUGUAGCGGUGAAAUGCGCAGAUAUCAGGAGGAACACCGGUGGCGAAGGCGGGACUCUGGGCUGUAACUGACACUGAGGAGCGAAAGCAUGGGGAGCGAACAGGAUUAGAUACCCUGGUAGUCCAUGCCGUAAACGUUGGGCACUAGGUGUGGGGGACAUUCCACGUUCUCCGCGCCGUAGCUAACGCAUUAAGUGCCCCGCCUGGGGAGUACGGUCGCAAGGCUAAAACUCAAAGGAAUUGACGGGGGCCCGCACAAGCGGCGGAGCAUGCGGAUUAAUUCGAUGCAACGCGAAGAACCUUACCAAGGCUUGACAUACACUGGACCGUUCUGGAAACAGUUCUUCUCUUUGGAGCUGGUGUACAGGUGGUGCAUGGUUGUCGUCAGCUCGUGUCGUGAGAUGUUGGGUUAAGUCCCGCAACGAGCGCAACCCUCGUUCUAUGUUGCCAGCACGUGAUGGUGGGAACUCAUAGGAGACUGCCGGGGUCAACUCGGAGGAAGGUGGGGAUGACGUCAAAUCAUCAUGCCCUUUAUGUCUUGGGCUUCACGCAUGCUACAAUGGCUGGUACAGAG